rnacentral:lncRNA from 1 species
GCCUGUUUCUCUUCGCAAAGAUGGUGUAAAGUCAGAGUACAGUUUCUUGUAAAAUUCAGAAACACUACCUGAAAGCUGCACUCAGAUGUCAAAAAAUGUUCCACCAUAAGUGUGAUAUGUAUGAGUUGGCAUAACGAUGCUACUGAUUUUAUGAGAAUUUCUUUUUCUCGUUUUGUAAGAAACUGAACUGUCCAACUAUUUACAUUAUUCUUAAUUCUUUAGAAAACCAAAAUC